CCCUGGAUGGCUCAGUUGGUUAAGCAUCUGACUUUGGCUCAGGUUGUGAUCUCACAGUCUGUGAGUUCGAGCCCUGCUUCAGGCU
rnacentral:tRNA from 1 species